rnacentral:tRNA from 1 species
CUAAAAAUAAUAGUAAAAUAUUUUAUAUUA